rnacentral:misc_RNA from 1 species
UGGUAUACCCAGUACCUCACAUUGUUCACAUUUGUAUUUUUACGAUUUCGUCGCUGUCUUCAAUUAUACAAUCAUCCAACCCAAUCAACUUUAUUGUAACCUGAAACUGACCAGUGGUGAAAGUGCUCUCUAUCAUUUAACUAAGCUGCAAAGAAAUACAGGAUAUGAGUUUCGUAUAUCUUACCCUGCAGUGACACCCACUGACUUUGUUAUAAAAGACCUUAACAUUACCGCAGCAACUGGAAGAAAAUUAUUAAGCAUAGAAAAGUUUGUCUUCUGGACAGAUAUGCGAGAGGAUAGGCAUGUUGAAGUAACAGCUAUUCAUACUGGCCGUGUUCCCAAUAACUCAGACCUGAAAGACCUCACAGUCACAUAUGAUGUAGUUGUAGAACAGUUGUAUGCUGGAGUUCCAAUGAGCGCUUGGAAAUUAGUUUUAUUCAUCUCCGUCACCAUGUUUAUUGUUCUCAAAUUCUGUCGUCAACCAUUUAUCAAUUACAUCAAUAGUGAUGAUGAAAAACUAGAAUAAUCUUAUCUCUGAAUCACUUCAUUUCUGUUACCAACGAUUGAAGAUAAGGGGGUAAUAUACAAAUCUCUGAACGGAGACAAUGAAGACAAUAAUUUAGCACUU